GACGAACGCUGGCGGCGUGCUUAACACAUGCAAGUCGAACGGUGACGGCAGAGCUUGCUCUGCCUGAUCAGUGGCGAACGGGUGAGUAACACGUGAGUAACCUGCCCCUCACUUCGGGAUAACCUCGGGAAAUCGUGGCUAAUACCGGAUAUGAGACCUGACUGUAUGGUCGGGUCUGGAAAGAUUUAUCGGUGGGGGAUGGACUCGCGGCCUAUCAGCUUGUUGGUGAGGUAACGGCUCACCAAGGCGACGACGGGUAGCCGGCCUGAGAGGGCGACCGGCCACACUGGGACUGAGAUACGGCCCAGACUCCUACGGGAGGCAGCAGUGGGGAAUAUUGCACAAUGGGCGAAAGCCUGAUGCAGCGACGCCGCGUGAGGGAUGAAGGCCUUCGGGUUGUAAACCUCUUUCAGCAGGGAAGAAGCGAAAGUGACGGUACCUGCAGAAGAAGCGCCGGCUAACUACGUG
rnacentral:rRNA from 1 species